UACGUAGGUCACAAGCGUUAUCCGGAAUUAUUGGGCGUAAAGAGCUCGUAGGCGGUUUGUUGCGUCGGCUGUGAAAUCCCGAGGCUCAACCUCGGGUCUGCAGUCGAUACGAGCAAACUAGAGUGUUGCAGGGGAGACUGGAAUUCCUGGUGUAGCGGUGAAAUGCGCAGAUAUCAGGAGGAACACCGGUGGCGAAGGCGGGUCUCUGGGCAACAACUGACGCUGAGGAGCGAAAGCGUGGGGAGCGAACAGG
rnacentral:rRNA from 1 species